AGAACGAACGCUGGCGGCAGGCUUAACACAUGCAAGUCGAACGCUCGUAGCAAUACGGGAGUGGCAGACGGGUGAGUAACGCGUGGGAACAUACCCUCCGGUUCGGAAUAGCUCAGGGAAACUUGGAUUAAUACCGGAUACGGCCGAGAGGCGAAAGAUUUAUCGCCGGAGGAUUGGCCCGCGUUCGAUUAGCUUGUUGGUGAGGUAAUGGCCCACCAAGGCGACGAUCAGUAGCUGGUCUGAGAGGAUGAUCAGCCACAUUGGGACUGAGACACGGCCCAAACUCCUACGGGAGGCAGCAGUGGGGAAUAUUGGACAAUGGGCGAAAGCCUGAUCCAGCCAUGCCGCGUGAGUGAUGAAGGCCUUAGGGUUGUAAAGCUCUUUUACCCGGGAAGAUAAUGACGGUACCGGGAGAAUAAGCCCCGGCUAACUUCGUGCCAGCAGCCGC
rnacentral:rRNA from 1 species